rnacentral:tRNA from 1 species
GGCCCCAUCGUCUAGCGGCUUAGGACAGCUGGUUUUCAGCCAGCUAACACCGGUUCGAAUCCGGUUGGGGUCACCA